GUGGGGAAUCUUGCACAAUGGGGGAAACCCUGAUGCAGCGACGCCGCGUGAGUGAUGAAGCCCUUCGGGGUGUAAAGCUCUUUCGACAGGGACGAUAAUGACGGUACCUGGAGAAGAAGCUGCGGCUAACUACGUGCCAGCAGCCGCGGUAAUACGUAGGCAGCAAACGUUGUUCGGAGUUACUGGGCGUAAAGAGUGCGUAGGCGGUUCGCCAAGUUUGGUGUGAAAUCUCCCGGCUUAACUGGGAGGGUGCGCCGAAAACUGGCGGGCUUGAGUGUGGGAGAGGGAAGCGGAAUUCCUGGUGUAGCGGUGAAAUGCGUAGAUAUCAGGAGGAACACCGGUGGUGUAGACGGCUUCCUGGACCACAACUGACGCUGAGGCACGAAAGCGUGGGUAGCAAACAGGAUUAGAAACCCCGGUAGUCC
rnacentral:rRNA from 1 species